rnacentral:lncRNA from 1 species
GUGGGUGUGGUCUGUGGAAAGUGCAAAUAAGGAUUUAUAAUUUUGAGAAGAGACUAUGAAGUGAGACAGCUUGUGGAGACUGGAGGCAAGUGCAAAGAUGGCUGAUUAAAGAGCCUCAGCAUGAACAGCUGAACAGGGGCUCAAAGAAUGGCAUGAAGACCACAUUACUACUGAAUUGGACAUAUACAUGAUCCAGUAGUCUAUUAUUAUUCUACACUAGGUCAUAUACACGUAGGAUGCAAGGCAUGAAAUUCUUAAUUGCUACAUACUCCAGAAAAGUAGCAACUGGCACUGGCUCAUGCAUGCAUAUAAGGAUCUGGUCUAUAUGAGAGUAACAAAUUUCCAAGUAAAAUAGUGAUUUGGUGGAAAUUCCUGGAACUAGUGUUUGCAUGGUUGACGAGGAUUGUAGGAUUGGCUGUUAUGAUAAUAGUGAUGAUAGAAAUGCUCUUGCUAUAUGACCAAAUAAGGACAAUUCUGAUUCAGAGGAAAACAGGUCAAAUGAUAAAAUUGUUGUGGUUGUGUAUUAGAAUGAACAGAUGGUGCACACUAUUCUUACAUCAAAACUUAAUAACAAAGAACUAUUCUGACAGCAAGCGUGAGACAAUCAUUGCAUGAAUAGCAAGUAUAACUCUGGUCUUGUAUAACUCACAUAACUUUAGUUCACUUCUUGAAGUCAACAGAUAAUAUCAUAACACUAAUAUUGGUGACAAGCUGAAGAGUAAAGACACUUAUAAUUUUUUGUACACUCCCAGGACCGAGUGCAGUCAGUGUUGAACAGGUAUGAGUGUAUUGUUAUUAUAUCUCGAGUACAAAAUUAGAAGCAGGCAUUAAGAAAUUUCUGGCAAGUGGACAAUCAGAACAGCUAAACUGAACACUAUUAACAGUAAUGAUAAAACUUCUGAAAGAAAACUUUCAUAUGAUUUUGUAUGACCACUCAAAACAGCAAUUAAUUGGUCAUCCUGUCUGAAUUAUUAUUUUGAUAAUAUUAUUUAUUACAAUGCACAGCACUAUUUAUCAGUUACA